AACGAACGCUGGCGGCAUGCCUAACACAUGCCAGUCGAACGAGACCUUCGGGUCUAGUGGCGCACGGGUGCGUAACGCGUGGGAACCUGCCCUUAGGUUCGGAAUAACUCCCCGAAAGGGGUGCUAAUACCGGAUAAUGUCUUCGGACCAAAGAUUUAUCGCCUUUGGAUGGGCCCGCGUUGGAUUAGCUAGUUGGUAGGGUAAAAGCCUACCAAGGCGACGAUCCAUAGCUGGUCUGAGAGGAUGAUCAGCCACACUGGGACUGAGACACGGCCCAGACUCCUACGGGAGGCAGCAGUGGGGAAUAUUGGACAAUGGGCGAAAGCCUGAUCCAGCAAGGCCGCGGGAGUGAUGAAGGCCUUAGGGUUGUAAAGCUCUUUUACCCGGGAUGAUAAUGACAGUACCGGGAGAAUAAGCUCCGGCUAACUCCGU
rnacentral:rRNA from 1 species